rnacentral:misc_RNA from 1 species
GAAAAGGUAAAUUCAUAGAAGAUAUUUAAUUAAAUAAAAAUAAUUCAAACUACUAAUAACAAUAUUUGUUUGUACACCAGACCAGUGUGGAAGCCUCUAAGGCUAAAACAUAGAUUCAGUUAUAUUUUGUACCUCAUUACAAAUUUAUCUUUUUUAUUUUUCAAAUAUUUCUUGCUUUUUUACUCACAAAUAGUGAUUACGUACUCCUAGCACUAGCAGUACUAAAUUCUGGUAUCUCUAUGCAGAUGAGUGGCUCUCUUUAGAUAUGCUCCAUUGAUGCAAAACAUUGCCAAAAAUAUCAUAGAAUACAAAAAUGGCGUUGGUGUCAGUGAUUUGCACUGACAUAAAACCUUGGCCA